rnacentral:lncRNA from 1 species
UAGUUCAUGAAUCCUCUAUUGCAAACACUUCAUCAUGCCUCCGUUUUGAGAAAGCAGUGCAUAAGAGUUCACCAUAAUUACAAAGUUCUGCUCCUUUACAGUUGGUGGCCUCAUCUAGGACUUAUUGUCUACACACAACAUGAUGCUCGCAGGCUUUUUAUUUCUAGAUUGCCAAAGACCGAUGCCAAAGAACAUAGAGCUUUACAGUGUAACACUUGUAGUACUUUUCUUGAGUUACAUUAUAAAGAGUUGUUGCAACAUGAGGAAAUGGGUAACUUAAGGCUACAUGACAACACCUGCUGGUCUGGUCUCACUCUGUGGCUUGAUGUUCAUUCCACACUUAUGUUAUUGGCGUAAUAGGUAGUAACUAUUAACAAUAUUAAUAGAACAAAUUAAUAAAAUAUUGAUGUUCAUUCCACACUUAUGUUAGUAGUAACUAUUAACAAUAUUAAUAAAACAAAUCCAAAAAAAUGCAUAUAUACAGGAAUUAUAUUCGACUCAAUAAUUAAGAGCAUGUCCUUUUAUUUUGUUAUACCUGCACAGGACGAACGGUACUUGCCACAACACGAAAACCAAAACAAGACCAAAUAGAGUAACCAUUCCACACUUAUGUUAUUGGCGUGUUCACAAGUAGAAUAUAUAUCAGGGAGUCAGACUGCCCCAAUGAAAGUACGCCACAAGCAAUCAACAAUCCCCCCAACCACCAACAUAAUAGUACAACUACAAAAACACAGACUAUGCUAGCUUAACAUACAAAAGUAAGAAGCUAAUUUAGUAACUAAGAAGAGAAAUAAAAGAAGUUAUACUAAUGCACUACAAACAAACUUCAUAAAGUACAACACUACACAAGCACAAAGCGUGAAUCGAAUAUUCCAAUUAGCACCUAGCACCACAUUUUCUCAUAGCACAAAGCGUGAAUCGAAUAUUCCAAUUAGCACCUAGCAUCACAUUUUCUCAUAGAAAUUAUCUGCCACUAAGCUAUAAUGUCACUUUCUAUGGCAUUGAGGCAUUUAAUCAAGCACAUGGCAUUCACCAAAAUUACCUCAUAACUUCAACUUUAAUUCUUCCAAAAUUACUACACAACCAUACCAAUCAACCAUCCUACCACCAUCACAAUGUAACAAGGGCACAAAGUGCUCCAAAUUUGCACAAAUAUUCUAUCAAUUUUCGGCCUUUAAGGCACCUCUACCCAACUUCACCAUUAAUUUUUUUUAUAAGCAUCAAGACAUACUAAAAUGCUUCCACAAUUAUAAGCACAAUGGAAACCCAACAAAUUAAGCACCAAUCAUGGCCAAAAUAAAUAAUUAAAUUGAAAAAAUUAGCACCACUACACUACCUAGGGUUAAGUUCAAAUUAAACUAUACGACUCACUACAAUAAAUUACUCAAAGAAUAGAGAAGAGAGUGGAGAAACUUACCUUGAGAAUGAAUGGAAGGGAUGAGAUAUGUGUGUGGGAAGGAAAUUGAGAAGAAAAGAGAUUGGGGGAAUUGGGGGAAAGGCUGAACGUUUAGUUUGAGAGAGAAAAGAGAAAAAGGGGUUGGGGCGGGGGUUGCUGAACGAGUGUGUGUUUAAAAGAAGAUAGAAAAAAAAAAUAUUUUAUUUUUUAAUAAAA